UGAGGCUCCUGUCAAUCACUCUGGGUCCACUGUAUACAGAAGGAAAAUACAUGUGUUGUAUUUGAAAAGUCCAUAAGAUAAAGGCGCAAUUAAAAGGAAGACACACGGAAAUCAUGGAUGGACUAGAUGAUGUUACAGUAUCAGUUCUAAAUGCUGCCAACAUAGAUGAGGUUUUAAUCCACACCCUCAGUCGUGAUGAUUUAAGAGAUCUUUUUCCUGGUCCAGAAAACUUUCUCAGGAGGAAACAGUUGUGGGCUCAUCUUCACAAAGAGG